GGGUAAGAAAGAAAACUAAUAAAAUAAAGCGUGUAAGGUUAAAGGGGUAAGAAAGAAAACUAAUAAAAUAAAGCGUGCAAGGUUAAAAGGGUAAGAAAGAAAACUAAUAAAAUAAAGCGUGUAAGGUUAAAAGGGUAAGAAAGAAAACUAAUAAAAUAAAGCGUAAGGUUAAAA